GGCGAGUGAGCGGCAAGAGCUCAGAUUUGAAAUCGUGUUUCGGCACGAGUUGUAAAUUGCAGGUUGGAGUCUUUGUGGAAGUGCGUGUCCAAGUCCCUUGGAACAGGGCGCCAKUGAGGGUGAGAGCCCCGUGGGAUGCGCAUUGAAGCUGUAAGGCCCUUCUGACGAGUCGAGUUGUUUGGGAAUGCAGCUCUAAGCGGGUGGUAAAUUCCAUCUAAGGCUAAAUAUUGGCGAGAGACCGAUAGCGAACAAGUACUGUGAAGGAAAGAUGAAAAGCACUUUGAAAAGAGAGUGAAACAGCACGUGAAAUUGUUGAAAGGGAAGGGUAUUGGGUCCGACAUGGGGACUGCGCAUCGUUGCUUCUUGUAGGCGGCGCUCUGUGCUCUCUCUGGGCCAGCAUCGGUUUUUGCCGCAGGAUAAGGGGCGUUGGAACGUGGCUCCUCGGAGUGUUAUAGCCAACGCCAGAUGCUGCGAGCGGGGACCGAGGGCUGCGACAUUUGUCUCGGAUGCUGGCAUAACGGCUCAAUACCGCCCGUCUUGAAAC
rnacentral:rRNA from 1 species